rnacentral:snRNA from 1 species
CUCACUUCUCGGCCUUUUGGCUAAGAACAAGUGUAGUAUCUGUUCUGUUAAUUUGCAGGAAAAUACUCUGUGCGGCUUACACAAAUAAUCAACUCCUC